rnacentral:rRNA from 1 species
UAGGGAAUCUUCGGCAAUGGGGGCAACCCUGACCGAGCAACGCCGCGUGAGUGAAGAAGGUUUUCGGAUCGUAAAGCUCUGUUGUAAGAGAAGAACGUGUGUGAGAGUGGAAAGUUCACACAGUGACGGUAACUUACCAGAAAGGGACGGCUAACUACGUGCCAGCAGCCGCGGUAAUACGUAGGUCCCGAGCGUUGUCCGGAUUUAUUGGGCGUAAAGCGAGCGCAGGCGGUUUGAUAAGUCUGAAGUUAAAGGCUGUGGCUCAACCAUAGUUCGCUUUGGAAACUGUCAAACUUGAGUGCAGAAGGGGAGAGUGGAAUUCCAUGUGUAGCGGUGAAAUGCGUAGAUAUAUGGAGGAACACCGGUGGCGAAAGCGGCUCUCUGGUCUGUAACUGACGCUGAGGCUCGAAAGCGUGGGGAGCGAACAGGAUUAGAUACCCUGGUAGUCCACGCCGUAAACGAUGAGUGCUAGGUGUUGGAUCCUUUCCGGGAUUCAGUGCCGCAGCUAACGCAUUAAGCACUCCGCCUGGGGAGUACGACCGCAAGGUUG